rnacentral:rRNA from 1 species
CAGUAGCCACGGUAAAACGGAGGGGGCUAGCGUUGUUCGGAAUUACUGGGCGUAAAGCGCACGUAGGCGGCUUGGUAAGUUAGAGGUGAAAGCCCGGAGCUCAACUCCGGAAUUGCCUUUAAGACUGCCGAGCUAGUAGGUGAGAGAGGUAAGUGGAAUUCCGAGUGUAGAGGUGAAAUUCGUAGAUAUUCGGAAGAACACCAGUGGCGAAGGCGGCUUACUGGCUCAUUCUAGACGCUGAGGUGCGAAAGCGUGGGGAGCAAACAGGAUUAGAGACCCGCGUAGUCCCUGUCUCUUAUAC